rnacentral:rRNA from 1 species
UGGGGAAUAUUGGACAAUGGGGGCAACCCUGAUCCAGCAAUGCCGCGUGUGUGAAGAAGGUCUUCGGAUUGUAAAGCACUUUCGACGGGGACGAUGAUGACGGUACCCGUAGAAGAAGCCCCGGCUAACUUCGUGCCAGCAGCCGCGGUAAUACGAAGGGGGCUAGCGUUGCUCGGAAUGACUGGGCGUAAAGGGCGUGUAGGCGGUUUACACAGUCAGAUGUGAAAUCCCCGGGCUUAACCUGGGAGCUGCAUUUGAUACGUGUAGACUAGAGUGUGAGAGAGGGUUGUGGAAUUCCCAGUGUAGAGGUGAAAUUCGUAGAUAUUGGGAAGAACACCGGUGGCGAAGGCGGCAACCUGGCUCAUGACUGACGCUGAGGCGCGAAAGCGUGGGGAGCAAACAGGAUUAGAUACCCUGGUAGUCCACGCUGUAAACGAUGUGUGCUAGAUG